GGUGAAAAAAUAAAUCAUUUUAUUAGGGGCAUUAUGUUGAGUAUAAAAAUCGAAAACAUCAUUUUCUCAUAGCUUAAGUUAUUAAAGAUAAAUGAAUAUUCCAUAACAUUUUACGUGAAAUCAGAGUAAGAGGUGAGUAUUUUAUUUUUAUAUAUGUAUUAAUAGAAGAUUCUGAAUUCGAGCCACGCCAAAUUCUUUGGGUCAUUUAGUUUUUUCCUAUUUAAUUAUUUUACAUGAUCAUAAAUAUCCUUCACAUCUUAGGCCUAUUAAAAAAUUUGGAACCUAAUAAAAGUUAUUAGAGAUUAUCCAUUAUUCAAC
rnacentral:lncRNA from 1 species